rnacentral:rRNA from 1 species
CCUACGGGAGGCAGCAGUGGGGAAUAUUGCACAAUGGGCGAAAGCCUGAUGCAGCGACGCCGCGUGAGCGAAGAAGUAUCUCGGUAUGUAAAGCUCUAUCAGCAGGGAAGAAGAAUGACGGUACCUGACUAAGAAGCACCGGCUAAAUACGUGCCAGCAGCCGCGGUAAU